GACGAACGCUGGCGGCGUGCUUAACACAUGCCAGUCGAACGGAAAGGCCCUGCUUUUGUGGGGUGCUCGAGUGGCGAACGGGUGAGUAACACGUGAGUAACCUGCCCUUGACUUUGGGGUAACUUCAGGCAACUGGGGCUAAUACCGGAUAGGAGCUCCUGCUGCAUGGUGGGGGUUGGAAAGUUUCGGCGGUUGGGGAUGGACUGGCGGGUGAUCAGCUUGGUGGUGGGGUAGUGGAUUACCAAGGCUUGGACGGUUAGCCGGCCGGAGAGGGUGACCGGCCACAUUGGGACUGAGAUACGGCCCAGACUCAUACGGGAGGGAGGAGGGGGGAAGAUUGAACAAUGGGCGGAAGCCAGACGCAGCAACGCCGGGUGCGGGAUGACGGCAUGCGGGUGGGAAGCCGCUUUCGCCUGUGACGAAGCGUGAGUGACGGUAAUGGGGAAAGAAGUACGGCCAACCUACUG
rnacentral:rRNA from 1 species